GCGCAGCAGGCGAGAAAUAGUCUACAAUGGACGAAAGUCUGAUAGUGCGACGCCGUGUGUGCGAUUAAUUCCUUCGGGAUGUAAAGCACUUUUCUAUGAGAUAAAAGCUCUUUAGGUUAAUAGCUUAUUGAGACGGAUAUUAUUAUAGGAAUAAGCUCCGGCUAACUCCGUGCCAGCAGCCGCGGUAAUACGGAAGGAGCGAGCGUUGUCCGGAUUUACUAGGCGUAAAGGGCUAGUAGGCGACUAAUUAAGUUAUAUGUUAAAUCCCACGGCUCAACUGUGGUCCUGCAUGUAAUACUGGUUAGAUAGAGUACUGUAGAGGAAGGCAGAAUUCCUGGAGUAGCGGUGGAAUGCGCAGAUAUCAGGAAGAAUACCAAAAGCGAAGGCAGCCUUCUGGGCAGUUACUGACGCUGAAUAGCGAAGGUGUGGGUAGCGAACAGGAUUAGAUA
rnacentral:rRNA from 1 species